UACGUAGGGUGCGAGCGUUGUCCGGAAUUACUGGGCGUAAAGAGCUCGUAGGUGGUUUGUCGCGUUGUCCGUGAAAACUCACAACUCAAUUGUGGGCGUGCGGGCGAUACGGGCAGACUGGAGUACUGCAGGGGAGACUGGAAUUCCUGGUGUAGCGGUGGAAUGCGCAGAUAUCAGGAGGAACACCGGUGGCGAAGGCGGUUCUCUGGGCAUUACCUGACGCUGAGGAGCGAAAGUCAGGGGAGCAAACGGG
rnacentral:rRNA from 1 species